AGGAUCAUUAUCGUACAACCGAGGCGUGAGGGCUGUCGCUGGCCGAAUCAAAAAAGGCCGUGCACGCCCGAGCGCUCUCACACAAUCCAUCUCACCCCCCUUGUGCAUCACCGCGUGGGUCCUCCCACUCGGGAGGGCUCGCGUUUUCACRCAAAACUCGAUACAGUCUARAAUGUUUGUUUUAUGCGGUCACACGCAAUCAAUACRACUUUCAACAACGGAUCUCUUGGCUCUCGCAUCGAUGAAGAACGCAGCGAAAUGCGAUACGUAAUGUGAAUUGCAGAAUUCAGUGAAUCAUCGAAUCUUUGAACGCACCUUGCGCCCCUUGGCAUUCCGAGGGGCACACCCGUUUGAGUGUCGUGAAAUUCUCAAAACCCUUUUCUUUGACCGGAAGAGGACUUUUGGACUUGGAGGUUCGAUGCUCGCUUUUCGCCUUUGUGAAAAGCGAGCUCCUCUCAAAUGAAUUAGUGGGGUCCGCUUUGUCGAUCCUCGACGUGAUAAGAUGUUUCUACGUUUUGGAUUUGGCACUG
rnacentral:rRNA from 1 species